AAAACACUUCUAUGCUCCCAGCAAGACUCACCUGGCCAUGCCUAAGUCAACACCCUCAAGAGGCAGUAGAUGAGUGAACAUGUAAGUGCUGUCAGCCUCCAGGGAUGGAUAAGGCUUGCUUCCUCUGACUGCAUGUCUGCCUGGAAAAUGGGAGGACAGUGAGUUUUAGGCGGACAACCAAAAUUGUUAUCUACAAGAAGUUUACAGACAUGGAGGUUCACAAACAAGAAGCUCAUACCCAGUCUUGACAUAUAAAAAGAGGUGGGAAUAAGUGUUAUUAUCAUGAUGAAAUCAACGUGCUGCUGCGAGGGAGACUAAUUCAGGCCAAGGUCCAGGUGACAUCUGAGCUGCAGAUUUCAUAUUAAAGGUGACAUCUUAGUUGCGCCUUAAUUUAAAAAGAAUAUGAUUUUGACUGCUGGAUAAAGGGGAAAAGACCGGGGAAGGCAAAUAGAUGACCACAUUGCUCAUGGAGAAAGUGAUUCUUUUCAAGUGACUCAUUCAAAAUGGCUGCUGCAUAGCACAUGAUGAGAAAUGCCUGUGACAGAUGAGGCAGAAGAAAUGACCUCUUUAGCAUGAUGGUUACUUGAACUCAGGAGAACCAGGAACACCUUUGUUUGGUGGUGAACUUCAUCUUGAAAUCUUUGGCCUUAGCAGCCUACAGAUGCUGAGUGAUUGUUAAAUGGACAAGUGUAUUUGCAGGGAAAUUCAAUUCCUGUUUUAAAAUUACUUAUUCCUCCCAUCUGACAAGGGAUUCAUAACCAGAAUAUACAAGGAGCUCAAACAACUCUAUAGGGAAAAAAAUCUAAGAAUCUGAUCAAAAUGGGCAAAAGUUCUGGAUAGACAUUUCUUAAAAGAAGACAUACAAGUGGCCUAUGAAGAGGUUCUCAACAUCGUGUAUCACUAGAGAAAUGCAAAUAUAAACUGCAAUGAAAUAUCAUCUCAUUCUGGUUAAAAUGGCCUGUAUCCAAAAGACACGCAAUAGCAAAUGCUGGUGAGGAUGUGGAGAAAAGGGAUCACGUGUACACUGUGGGAAUGUAAAUUAGUACAACCACCAUGAAGAUCAGUUUGUAGGUUCCUCAAAAAAACUAAAAAUUGAGCUACCAUAUGAUCCAGCAAUCCCACUGUGGGGCAUAUACUCGAAAGAAAGGAAAUCAGUGAGUCAAAGAGAUAUCUGCACUUCUACGUUGCAACACUGUUUAUAAUAACUAAGAUUUAGAAGCAAUGUAAGUGUUCAUCAACCAAUGAAUGGGUAAAGAAAAUGUGGUACAGAUACACAGUGGAGUACUAUUCAGCCAUAAAAAAGGAGAUCCUGUCAUUUGCAACAACAUGGGUGGAACUGGAGAUCAUUACAUUAAGCAAAAUAAACCUGGAACAGAAAGACAAACAUCAC
rnacentral:lncRNA from 10 species